AUGAAACAUGCUGUGCUGGUUUCUGAAAACCAAGAAGCCUGGAGAGAAAUUUAUGACUUUGAAACAAAAUUUAGAGGUUGAAGGAUUUAGCAGUUUGCAAAGAACAUGGAGCUAAGCCCUUGAAAAAAAACUGUUCAAAAAGUCCUGGCCUAAAGUGCCAACGUCGUUUUCAGAAGUCCCCGCAGAAGCUCUUAGGAAUCUGAAAGUGUAAAAAUGGGGAGAGAGCAUUUUAAAGACAUCUUUCCCCUGAAAGCCGGUGCUUGUGAGCCUGUGCAUUUUCCCACACGAAUAUGCUCGGCCGUUAUGUUAGCCAGGCAUUUCCUGCAUGCGGCAGUUCUGGAGGCCGAAAGUCCAGGGUCAAAGUGCCAGUGGAUUACAUUUCCUGGUGAGGACCCUCUUCCUGGCUUGUACCUGUGAUUCCUAGAAGUCUCCAUUUUGAAGUUCUCUUGUCCUUUGACCAAGCAUCCAGCACAUCCUCACAACAUUCCAAAGCCACCUUGAAGACUCUCUUCAAAGCAAUUCUUACUGUUGAUACCACCACCAUUGUUCCUGACACAUGAAGCAGGAGGACCCAAGGCCAGAGGUCAUGGCGGAGAGAUGAGCAGAUAGUCCUCAAAGGCAGACAGGGCUGGGGUUGAAGAGGAAUUCCCUAAUAGCUGUUAUAAAUGGAGAUAUGACAGGUGUGAACAAACAACCUAGGACUGGAAGAAAGAAGAGGGAGGAGUCAGGUAGAAAUAGUACUGAGAGUGGAUGCCUGGGCUGUGUAGUGACAUAAAGGGGCUUAAAGAGGGCUUAGGGAGCAGAUCUGAGAGGAAGAGAAUGAAGGAAGGUAAAGAAUUCAGUCUUUGGCAUUCCGAUAUGUAGUGAGGGCUGGGGGUGGUGACAGACUAGAUUUAGGAAGUCUGAGGGUUGGGUGUUGGUUUGUGUUCUUGAAAUUACUUCCUCAGGAUUUCACAUCUAACCAAAUAUUAACAAUCAUUUACUAAAUAAAUAUUGUUCCAUCCCUGGAUGGGCAGACGGGAGUGUUAUGCCUGCCUCUCCCCAUCCCGUACCAAAAAAUUAACAAAGACAGUUCAAUUCAUGACCCCAAGGCUGUCACAAUCCAGACUAAGGAGUGCCCUGAGAGCCUAGCGGGAUCAUCUUGGUGCACACUCAGUAGCCAGGGGA